CGCCCGUCGCUCCUACCGAUUGGGUGUGCUGGUGAAGCGUUCGGAUCGGCUGCAUUGUGCGGUUCGCCGCUUGAUGUAGCUGGGAAGUUCGUUAAACCCUCCCACCUAGAGGAAGGAGAAGUCGUAACAAGGUUUCC
rnacentral:rRNA from 1 species